rfam:Schistosoma haematobium scaffold475_11, whole genome shotgun sequence.
GCAUUACUGAGGAGUCCCACAAUAGGACGAAACGGCCGUUCAGUGC